rnacentral:tRNA from 1 species
GGGAUUGUGGCAGACGAGGUAAUCCAUCGGACUCAUAACCCGAGCGAUGUGAGUUCGAUUCUCACCGAUCCCA